UACGGAGGGGGCGAGCGUUAUUCGGAAUUAUUGGGCGUAAAGGGCGCGUAGGCGGCUCUAUAAGUCAAAGGUGAAAUCCCUCGGCUCAACUGAGGAACUGCCUUUGAAACUGUUGGGCUUGAGGCCGGGAGAGGGUAGUGGAAUUCCCAGUGUAGCGGUGAAAUGCGUAGAUACUGGGAGGAACACCAGUGGCGAAGGCGGCUACCUGGGCCUGCACUGACGCUCAUGCACGAAAGCGUGGGGAGCAAACAGG
rnacentral:rRNA from 1 species